rnacentral:lncRNA from 1 species
AACUAUAAUAGCCCUCAAGACAAGCAUAUAUUCUGAGGUAACUCAUUGUCUACUAAAGUUGAAAAUUUAAUUUAGUUCAUACUUAUGGUACUUAUUCUGCUAUAAUAGCCCUCAAGACAAGCAUAUGUUCUUGAGGUAACUCACUGUCUACUGAAGUUGAAAAAUUAAUUUAGUUCAUACUUGAACUGGUUUAUCAUAAAUAAGGUUUUUUAUGUAUAUAAAAUGUCCAGUGGCGCAAAAAGGUGCGUGAUUAUUCAAAGAUCUAAAGUAAAGUGAUCGAUCUGCAUGGUCUUUUGUUCGUCGACAAGAACUCUCUGAAGUUUCAUUCCCAGGUAUUUUUCCUCUUGUGAUCAUAUAAAUGUUAUUUCGAUUGCAAUGUGAGAAGAGCACAUAUGAAGUCCUUGUGGUUGUAGGAAAACCAUUGUAUAGAUAGUGGAGUUCAUCUGCUUAUCAACAGAUAUCAUAGUUCUUUUUUUAGACAGUGGAGUUAUCUUCAAUCCCACUGAAAGACAAAUCUCUUGCUUUCAGCUUUUCAAGUGUUUGUCAAGCAAUUUUGCUCUAACGUUGCACUAUUUUCAUGGCAAAUGUGUAACAGGGAGUUACUAAAAUAGGCCAUCUCAUUAUUGUUGAUAUCUAUACUAAUAUAAAAAGGAGGAGUUGCAUCCCUCCAAUCCUACAUGCCAAAUCAUCCCAACUCAUCUCAUCCAUCCAUUCACCAGGUAAAAUAAUCUUAUCCAUUAAUCCGCUGAAAUCUUUCACUGAAUCCAUCUUGGGCGACCUCGCGCUAUCCACGCCCGCACCACCGCUCUUUCCACGUGCCCGACCUGAUUACUCUGCCCCCCUUUCCCCGCGCUAUGCCACCGCCGCCGCUGUGCUACUCGCUGCCGCCCCUCCUCUCACGUGUUCCCCCUUCCGCUGGACUACCGCCCGGGACCCACCGCAGCCACGCGCGUACGCGCUGACCCUGCCGUGAUGCCUCACCACCACAUCGCUGCAUCACGUAGUCCUCUCACGAUAAUAACGCUGCCGCCUAUUCCUCCCGGACGACACAUCCUCCAACCACUGCGCACAUCCCCCAUCCGCAGUCUGCCGCACGCCUCCUCUCCCCGGAAAUCGCAUUCUCCCGUUGCAAAUCACAUCCUCCAGCCGCGGAAUCACCAGAAAUCGAUUCCUCUCGCAGUCUCGCCCACGGACGACACUUCUCGCAUUCUCUACAGCCGCGGAAUCGCCGGAAAUCAACUCCUCCCGCCGCGGACGACACUUCUUGCAUCCUUCCCAGCCGUGGUGGUCUGCCCUUCAGCUGGCGGGGCUGCUCCAUCUCCGUCUCCACCGUAAUCGAUGGCCCAGUGUUCCCCUUGGGCCCUCCACUGCUGAUGCCGCCGUCCCGGACCUCUCUGCCGCCAAUCCUUCCAUCCUGGUCCGCUCUGCUGCCGACACAUCCACCCUUGCCGCUGCCACUUCUCCCAGAGGAGGCGAACAAUGAAUCUGAGAAGAAGUCGGUGGCCUUUUGUCCUUUUUCCUGCGCGACGGAGAAGCAGGAAAGGUACAAGACCGGCAGCUGCUAUAAAUCCAAAAACCUCAACCUGUGAGUUCUCUUCCCAGUGUCUCUCUCAUCAAAGGUACAGUAGCAGCGAUAGCGUGGAUAAAUUGAGCGAGGGAGAUUAUUGUGUACAGCUUCUCAUUGUUGUUUGAUGUCAUGUAUAGCAUGCUUUUAUCAUUUUGAUUGGAUGCUAAUUUAGUUUGCCAUACUUAACGAAACAACUCAUAGUUCAUAUACUUUUUUUCUCUGAACUUAAUAAAGGAAACUUGAAUAGAGGAUUAGAAGGUUAUGAGUGACCCGUAGUUACUUGCUGUUGAAACAAGAAAUUUUGCUGAAGAUCACUUCUCUUAAUAAAGGAAACUUGAGUAGUGCUUGGUUGGUGUGCAGAAUGGGUAAAAUGAUAAAAGCUGAUUUAAACGGGAAAAUGUCUAUGACUGCCUUAUUGGGCUAUCUACACCGAUAACUGUGUUGCCUGGUUAUUCCACAUAUGGCCUUCUUCUCCCUGGGUGAAUGUUUAUAGCCAACUGCCACUUUUGCUUGGCUGACUUUUCAUUACCAAGACUUAAAAUGCUUCCAACGGGCAACUGGUGGUGAAUUGAUAGAAUUAUGGUGAUCUUUUUUUUCCUAGCUUGCCUUCACAAUGAACCUAUCCAAGGACCAAACUCUUAGAAUUUUGGUUUGAGUGGAUCCAAAGACAAAUUUAUUCACAAAAAAGGAUGAUAUUAAUUGGCUAACCUACACCCUGCAAUGCUUGCAAAGUCACUAGGCGGGGUGAUAAGAUGAAAAAAGGUACUUAUGUGCAUCUCAAUAGGCCUACUCGCCUUAAAACUAGACCCCCAGGGGUCUCUCGGCUGAAACAAAUAUGCCCUAUUUUCUGAUACCCGAUCAGUUGUUGUGGACAAGUAACCCUGAAAUCACUUAUAUCCCUCUAUUGUUUAUUCCCCUAAUUCAUUGGGAGAUGUUGCGUCCAGAGUCCGUCAUCGUUGUUCAUUAUGUUCAGGGCAUAACUACAUAGGAUCGAACAAUUUUUAUAUAUUGGUGAUCCUGAUUCUUUUGUUUUGCUACAGGAAUAACAUAUUGUGUUCUGAAGGCAAAAUGAACUUAUUGAGGGUACUAAAGUGAAUAGCAUCAGUAUGUUCAGUAGAUAUUUCAGCCCAUGGUCCUCUAAUCCACAUGUGGACUGUGCUGAAAGGAAUGUCUUGGCCUCUCGGGUUGGUUGUCACUUGUCUAUUUAUACUUAUUUUAAAUUCAAAUCAGAAAUCAGAGAUCAAUGUAUGGAAGGUUUGAACCAGACGACCCAGAGCAUCCUGCUGCUCCAUCAUUCUGAUCGAAUGCAACUAAUAAAAAACAACAGUUGUUGUGUCCACUGCCCUUGCAUUUGUACCUGCAUAGUAACCUAAGUUCACAUUGGUGGGUUCGACUGUUCUCCAGUAAAUUCUUGAGUUAGAAAUUUCCAUUUUCCAUUUCAGAGCAGGUUCCAUUUUUUUGUGAGAGAAGUAAUGCAGUGAGAUAGGGGCCUCUCUCUCCCUCUCCCUCUCCCUCUCCCUCCCUCCCUCCCUCCCUCUCUCUACUUUGCCCAAGAAAGCGCACGAGCAAGAAGGAAUUCACCAUCCCUCCAAGAGUUGGAGUCAUUGAUAUACCCUCCACCCCUUAGGCAUAAUGGUUGUAGGAAAAAUGUGCACUACUCAAUAAUUUGCAGCUCCAUUACGCCUUUAGAAUAAAUAAUAUUUUGCACCACUAUCACAGUAUGGAUUUUGGUUUAUGCUAUGUAAUGUUUACUAUUUAUCAAAUAUAAUUAGUGUCAGUGGCUACUUCAAUUUAAAGAAUGUUGUGUUAUGUAUCUUCUCGCUUUAAGAUAUCAGCGAUAUCAAUCUAAUGUUCUUCCACUAUUUGUUACAAUGAUAAAUAGAUUUUUGAAGCAAUCCUGUUGAAUAUAGAAGACCAUUGUAGCUCUUGAAUUGUUUUCUUAUUCGGUUGCCUUUCUCUAAUCUGUUCUUGUGCCAGGAAUCUCUCAUGUUUCUUAUACAUAGCAAUUCAUCUAUAUGGAAAAAGCAUGGCAACCCUUUAACUAAAGUUAUUUUUCUUUAAAAGAAAUCCUUACUGUGGUUAGUCUUUUGACGAGGCUAUGUGAAAUGACUUUUUUUUUUUUGCUUUUGGCUAUUUCUGUCAUUAACAACCUUUUCAAUUCAAUAGAUGAUGGAAAGCAAGAAUGUUCAGAAAAUAUGAUUAUGCCUGUUCUGACAGUUUAUUAUACCUUCUAAUUUUAAAUGUACUUCCUAAAUUUUUAAACGUGCCUUGCACGUGCACGAUUCCUAGUCUUAAAAAAAGAAGCAGCUGGUAAUUGGAGGGGAUUGUAAUUGAAAUUGAUCGUUAGCAGCAAUCUUUUUACCAGGUAUCCUGGAGGAAAUGCCGACGACGGAACGAGAAGCCUUCCGGAUCAUGCUAUUGUCUGCUACGCUUGCGACGCCCGUGAUGCUG